GGUUAUUGAGGAAUAGGCAAGGCAACUAUUACGCCAGAAAUGGUAGCAAAGGUAUCUGGGAUACGCCGCCCCACCAGUAACC
rnacentral:ncRNA from 12 species